GACGAACGCUGGCGGCGUGCCUAAUACAUGCAAGUUGAGCGCUGAAGGUUGGUACUUGUACCAACUGGAUGAGCAGCGAACGGGUGAGUAACGCGUGGGGAAUCUGCCUUUGAGCGGGGGUCAACAUUUGGAAACGAAUGCUAAUACCGCAUAAAAACUUUAAACACAAGUUUUAAGUUUGAAAGAUGCAAUUGCAUCACUCAAAGAUGAUCCCGCGUUGUAUUAGCUAGUUGGUGAGGUAAAGGCUCACCAAGGCGAUGAUACAUAGCCGACCUGAGAGGGUGAUCGGCCACAUUGGGACUGAGACACGGCCCAAACUCCUACGGGAGGCAGCAGUAGGGAAUCUUCGGCAAUGGACGAAAGUCUGACCGAGCAACGCCGCGUGAGCGAAGAAGGUUUUCGGAUCGUAAAACUCUGUUGGUAGAGAAGAACGUUGGUGAGAGUGGAAAGCUCAUCAAGUGACGGUAACUACCCAGAAAGGGACGGCUAACUACGUG
rnacentral:rRNA from 1 species